UGAUCGUCCGACCCAUCUGAGCGCCGCUCGUCUUUAUCCUCUCCCCCAGCGAAGAUGAUGCCAGUUUCAGCUUAGACAAAUCAAGUUUUUCCAUUUCUUGAAUUUGGAAACAGAUUUUGCAAAAAGGGUUUCAGAGAAAAAUUGUCAGUUCAGGUGGGAUUCAAUUCUUUUUUUAUCAAUGAAAUUAUCAGGGCUCUUGGAUUGAGUCAAUAAGAUACGCGUGGCUGCGUGUCUAUCGAGCAGAAAAAGACCAGAUGGAGAUAUUAGUAUAAUACUAUCUAGAAGUAAGAUAUUUGUACUUGUUGGCUUACACUUUGGUUUAUCUGACCCCGCUCCUCCUCUCACAUGAGAUCGGGUCCUACAUGGGAGUCACGACGUGAGGGCCCAAUCCUCAUGUGAGAGGAGGAGGUGAGGUCGAGUAACUCAAAGUGUAAAAUGACAUGUACAAAUAGCAUGGCCCUACUAUCUAUUCAAUCUUGCAGGCGGUGCCU
rnacentral:lncRNA from 1 species